rnacentral:rRNA from 1 species
AACCCUUGUCCUUAGUUACCAGCACGUUAUGGUGGGCACUCUAAGGAGACUGCCGGUGACAACCGGAGGAAGGUGGGGAUGACGUCAAGUCAUCAUGGCCCUUACGGCCUGGGCUACACACGUGCUACAAUGGUCGGUACAAAGGGUUGCCAAGCCGCGAGGUGGAGCUAAUCCCAUAAAACCGAAUCGUAGUCCGGAUCGCAGUCUGCAACUCGACUGCGUGAAGUCGGAAUCGCUAGUAAUCGUGAAUCAGAAUGUCACGGUGAAUACGUUCCCGGGCCUU